rnacentral:rRNA from 1 species
ACAGAGGGUGCGAGCGUUGUCCGGAAUCACUGGGCGUAAAGGGCGCGUAGGUGGCUCGUUAAGCGUGUGGUGAAAGCCUGGGGCUCAACCCCAGGUCUGCCGUGCGAACUGGCGAGCUUGAGCAGAGUAGAGGCGAGUGGAAUUUCGGGUGUAGCGGUGGAAUGCGUAGAUAUCCGAAAGAACACCGGUGGCGAAGGCGGCUCGCUGGGCUCUUGCUGACACUGAUGCGCGACAGCGUGGGGAGCAAACAGGA